GCAGUCUUCAUGUUUCCAGUGUCUUUUCCCCUACUUGGAACUGACCCAGAAGGAUAUUUCUUCCAACAUUUCUCUGACAGUGCUGAAAAUAAGCUGGAAGGAAGGGCUCAAAUGGCAGCACAGAAAGGACAUGCCUAGCAAACCCUAGCACCUCAAAGUUUCUUCGUGUGUCCUAAAGAGGCAUCCUUGCUUGUGGCUUAUUGAUUCAUCCUGUUUUCAUUGCUUAGACAGAAAGAAACUCAGACCUGGAUCUUUUGUGUGUGACAGCAUUCUGACCCCAGUUUUGUUAUUGAUAUGGAGACUAAAUGUGUCUUUGAAAGAGCAGAGAUGAUGAUUGCAGCAAAGACUGAAGAUCCAGUGAAUAGACAGAUUCUUUGGAACCUCUGCAAACAAGGAUCAGGGAUCAGUCAUCUUACCAUCUUACUUAACCAACAAAGCUAUUAAAGAUCUUCGGAACAACAAAUUUGAAAAGCCACCUGAUGCUGCAAUCAAGAAAAGUUGAAGCAAUGCCCAUUACCCAUGCUUUAUACAUGAUGGCCUUCCCAGUCUCUUGUGUUAUAAUUCAUUCCAUCCAAUCUUAAACAGGUAGAACAUUAAACAAGCAUGAAAUUGC